rnacentral:rRNA from 1 species
CACCGGCAGCCCAAGUGGUAGCCACGUUUAUUGGGUCUAAAGCGUUCGUAGCCGGCUUGGUAAGUUCCUUGGUAAAUUUAGCCGCUUAACGGUUAAGCUUUCAGGGAAUACUGCUUGGCUUGGGACUGGGAGAGGUCAGAGGUACUCCAGGGGUAGGGGUGAAAUCCAUUAAUCCUUGGGGGACCACCGGUAGCGAAGGCGUCUGACCAGACCAGCUCCGACGGUGAGGGACGAAGGCUAGGGGCGCGAACCGG